CAAACCCGAAUACAUUCAGUUUGUUCCCGGAGCUCGUCUGGAGCACAACUCAUUUUGGAAAUAAAUAAUUCGAAAAUUAUCAAAAUUAAAUGUAAAAAGACGGAAUUUUAUAGGUACACUUGCUAGUGGUAUUCAGCACCGCUGCUAAUAUACACUUGCCACUGCUUUUUAUGACGACGAAAAGCAAUGGCCUUGCUCUCGGUUUUCGACGGAACUGAGGAGCAUCUGACAAGACAUUCGAAUUGAUGAAGCACAUGGGGAAACCAGGAUUUAGGUGAUGUCCGCCAGCUGACAGUAAACACCUAGCCGGGUUUGAACAUAUGGAAGAUCAAUUAAUGUUUUAAUGUAUUAGUUUUAGGUAUAGCUCUUUAAGAAUGGGGCUUAAGUACGUCAGGGAAUUAGUUAGGGAUGGUACCGGUCCUUCUGGACUUGUAGUUUGCAUCGUUCCCCAAUGACCAAAUAUAUUUGUAUAUAUUUGUUGAACAUUAAUGUUUUAAUGUAUUAGUUUUAGGUAUAGCUCUUUAAGAAUGGGGCUUAAGUACGUCAGGGAAUUAGUUAGGGAUGGUACCGGUCCUGCUGGACUUGUAGGUUGCAUCGUUCCCCAAUGAUCAAAUAUAUUUGUAUAUAUUUGUUGAACAAAUAAACAAAAAAUCUAAACAAA